GAGCACCACAAUGGAGGAUUGGAAUAAUUAGACCACCUGAGUUUCUUAAGCUGAACGUUAAGUGAACGCGAAGGCCAACCCUCGAAAUACAAAGUGAUUAACGGUUUUUUUUUUUUUUUUUUCUGCGGCUAAGCCCAUGACACGGUCUGAACAGCCCAAGGUCAACGGCUAGACGUAAGAGGACUGCAAGUUUUUUUUAUUAGAUUGAGAUACGUUGCACAUAACUGAACGUAACAACGCGCGCCAAUCACGCCUACGUAGUCACGAGGAUAAGUUAUGCGCAACGACAUGGGGAGAGAGUGAUUCUCCGCCUAGCACACAAGAA
rnacentral:lncRNA from 1 species